CCAUCCAUGUGGUUGCAAAUGGGACAAUUUUGUCUUUUCUUAAUUUUAAACUUCAUUCUUGAAGAAUAACAUACCUACAGAAAGGAGCACAGAGUGAACAAAGUUGUCGUCCUCCUCUACCUCCACAUCGCCAUACCUUCUCAUCCCCAAGGCUGUAGAUGUGGAAAAUACCUUCUCCAAGUUUGAGGAUUGUAUUUUCACUCUUGAUAUAAUGUAUUUUGGUAUUGUGAGAAGCUAUAUUUUUCCACUCAUGAACUUUGAACAGAAUUUCUGUGCUUAAAGGCAGUUCUAGGAAUUGAGAAAAGAAGAUAGCUGCAAUAAAUUCCGAGAAGCAAUAAAUUCUAAGGAGUAAAAUCAGAUUCUGAGCAAUGAGCACCCUGAACUGGAACUGGCUGACCAGAAAAAGGCCUGAGAAUGCUGAAAAAAACACAAGCUGUGUGACCGUCCACCUUGAGUCAGCUGACUUACUCUCCCAGUACUUUUCCACCCUGAGCUUUGCCUCAAUAACAACUUUAACUAAAUUUUGCUCAAGGAGUUACUCUCUCUGAAGUUCUUCCAACUGCAAUAGUUUGGAUAAAGUGUUUGCCUUCACCUGUAACCAGUCUCGGUUUCCGUUUUGAUAAUAUGAAUCCCCAAUAUGCCCAGUACCACUACUGCCCCUCAGUGCAAGUCUGUCCUUUCCCUACUGCUCUGCAAUGUCACUUGUCAUGUUACCAAGUGUAUAAGUAUGCAUAAAUUCCUUUCUAGUCUCUCUUCUGUUUCAUUGGUCUAUUUGUCUAUUUUUUUGCCUAUGCCACACUCUCUUAAUCACCAUAGCUUUCUUACAGGUCUUGCUAUCUGGAAGACAGGUCCCCACACCUUGCUUUCUAGAGGGCUUUGCCUAUUCUUGUUCUUUAUAACUCCACACAUAUUUUAAAACCAGAUUGUCAAGUUUCACAAAACAUAUCUCGAGAUUUUUAUUGGAAUUGCAUUGAAUCUAUAAGCCAAUUUUGGGAGAACUGACAUCUUCAUAAAAUUGAGUCUUUCAAAUCAUGAACAUGACUUAUGUUUCCAUUUGUUGGCUCUUCUUUAAUGGAUUCCAAUAGAGUUUUG